GUAAUAUAAAAUACGGUCUCUUAGCUUUUAUUUAAGAAAACUAAGAGACGUCUCUUAAAUAAGAGUUAAGAGACAUCUCUUAACCUUUUUUAGUUAAAAGCUGAGAGACCGUAUAUUAUAUUAC
rfam:Brassica napus, WGS project CCCW01000000 data, contig: 7488